rnacentral:rRNA from 1 species
UACGUAGGGGGCUAGCGUUGUCCGGAUUUAUUGGGCGUAAAGCGUGCGCAGGCGGUUUUGUAAGCCAGAUGUGAAAUCCCCGGGCUUAACCUGGGAAUGGCAUUUGGGACUGCAAGGCUGGAGUGUGGCAGAGGAGACUGGAAUUCCUGGUGUAGCAGUGAAAUGCGUAGAUAUCAGGAGGAAUACCGAUGGCGAAGGCAGGUCUCUGGGCUGACACUGACGCUCAUGCACGAAAGCGUGGGGAGCAAACAGG